rnacentral:rRNA from 1 species
UACGAAGGGGGCUAGCGUUGCUCGGAUUGACUGGGCGUAAAGGGCGCGUAGGCGGUUCGUACAGUCAGACGUGAAAUCCCCGGGCUCAACCCGGGAACUGCGUCCGAUACUGGCAGGCUUGAAUCCGGGAGAGGGAUGCGGAAUUCCAGGUGUAGCGGUGAAAUGCGUAGAUAUCUGGAGGAACACCGGUGGCGAAGGCGGCAUCCUGGACCGGCAUUGACGCUGAACAGCGAAAGCUAGGGGAGCAAACGGG